GGGGAUUUAGCUCAGCAGCAUAAGCGCUUGCUUUACAAGCAGGCAAUCGUGAGUUCAAUCCCCG
rfam:Cavia porcellus supercont2_13 genomic scaffold, whole genome shotgun sequence.